UACGUAGGGAGCAAGCGUUGUCCGGAUUUACUGGGUGUAAAGGGUGCGUAGGCGGCUUUGCAAGUCAGGCGUGAAAACCAUGGGCUUAACCCAUGGAUUGCGUUUGAAACUGUGGAGCUUGAGUGAAGUAGAGGUAGGCGGAAUUCCCGGUGUAGCGGUGAAAUGCGUAGAGAUCGGGAGGAACACCAGUGGCGAAGGCGGCUUACUGGGCUUUAACUGACGCUGAGGCACGAAAGCAUGGGUAGCAAAC
rnacentral:rRNA from 1 species